GAUGAACGCUGGCGGCGUGCCUAAUACAUGCAAGUCGAGCGAACAGAUGAGGAGCUUGCUCCUCUGACGUUAGCGGCGGACGGGUGAGUAACACGUGGAUAACCUACCUAUAAGACUGGGAUAACUUCGUGAAACCGUAGCUAAUACCGGAUAAUAUAUUGAACCGCAUGGUUCAAUAGUGAAAGACGGUUUUGCUGUCACUUAUAGAUGGAUCCGCGCCGCAUUAGCUAGUUGGUAAGGUAACGGCUUACCAAGGCAACGAUGCGUAGCCGACCUGAGAGGGUCAUCGGCCACACUGGAACUGAGACACGGUCCAGACUCCUACGGGAGGCAGCAGUAGGGAAUCUUCCGCAAUGGGCGAAAGCCUGACGGAGCAACGCCGCGUGAGUGAUGAAGGUCUUCGGAUCGUAAAACUCUGUUAUUAGGGAAGAACAAAUGUGUAAGUAACUAUGCACGUCUUGACGGUACCUAAUCAGAAAGCCACGGCUAACUACGUG
rnacentral:rRNA from 1 species